rnacentral:rRNA from 1 species
AUGCACGCUGGCGGCGUGCCUAAUCCAUGCAAGUCGAGCGAACAGAUGAGGAGCUUGCUCCUCUGACGUUAGCGGCGGACGGGUGAGUAACACGUGGAUAACCUACCUAUAAGACUGGGAUAACUUCGGGAAACCGGAGCUAAUACCGGAUAAUAUAUUGAACCGCAUGGUUCAAUAGUGAAAGACGGUUUUGCUGUCACUUAUAGCUGGAUCCGCGCCGCAUUAGCUAGUUGGUAAGGUAACGGCUUACCAAGGCAACGAUGCGUAGCCGACCUGAGAGGGGGAUCGGCCACACUGGAACUGAGACACGGUCCAGACUCCUACGGGAGGCAGCAGUAGGGAAUCUUCCGCAAUGGGCGAAAGCCUGACGGAGCAACGCCGCGUGAGUGAUGAAGGUCUUCGGAUCGUAAAACUCUGUUAUUAGGGAAGAACAAAUGUGUAAGUAACUAUGCACGUCUUGACGGUACCUAAUCAGAAAGCCACGGCUAACUACGUG